CACUGGUCUUGCGGGUUUGGAGAAGGAGGCUCCUGAACCUCCAUAGACUUGAGGGAGCUCCGUGCAUUUGAAGAGUUGGAGAUGGUGGAAAUCUAGGAUAGGUGUUGUGAAGAACAAGAGCUAAGUCUGAUGAGGCCAUCAGGGACCAGCAACAGAAACAUGAGGUCGGUCCAGCCUGGGGCAGUUUCUCUCCAAGAGAAGAUGGAGGAAGCACAGCUAAGUGACUGGAAAUUUGACAUGCCUUGAUGUCAAGAGAUACCUGUACCUCUUGGAAACAACAAACCCUUUGUGGUACCUCAGUGGGAUCAUCAGUGGGGCAUGGCCCUCUCUUGGACAACGUUCUCAUGCUGCUUUGCAAAGAGAAUGUACAACAGGAUUUGUACAGGCCAAUCUAACUCUUGAACCAGAGAACCAUCUACUUGCUGCUGCUGCUAAGUCGCUUCAGUCAUGUCCAACUCUGUGCAACCCCACAGACGGCAGCCCACCAGGCUCCGCCAUCCCUGGGAUUCUCCAGGCAAGAACACUGGAGUGGGUUGCCA